GGCGCCAGGCGCCGGGGCGGCGCGGCCGUCGCAGUUCGGCGGGCGCAGUGCGCGUGCGCCCUGGCUCCUGGGGGGCGGGCGGCGUCCGCGGCGAGGGAGCGGGGGUGGGGAGGCGCCGUCUGGCUCGGGCUGGGGCCGGCGGGAGCGCGAACGAGAGACGGCGGCAACCGCGGGCCUGUGGACGGCUGCCCCAGCGGCCAGCAGAAAUUGGAAGAAGAGAAUCAACUAUUUUGUGAAAGUAUUUUGUUCAGUUUAGAAGAUACGGUAUUGUGAAAACAGUGUAGUCUCUGGAGUUAGACCUGGAGUCAGAAUGUAUAUCUAACAUACUAGAAAAAAGAUGCUUGGAAGAAUGGCCUUCCAAGUCAGAAGCAUCUGGGUUGAAAUUGAGCUCCACUCCUUACUGGUCCAAAGCCACAUGACUGAUUCAUCAUGCAGCCUUUUUUU